rnacentral:rRNA from 1 species
GUGGGCCCUCGAAAUCCGUCGGCGGGGGAUUCAGUCGGGAAGUGCGGGCGCGUGCGCCGGUCGUUUCAUCGGACCCUUUCCUGGGCCGGGCCGGCGUCGCGAUCUCCGUGCGACCCGACGCAUUUCCUCCCGCCCCAAGGACGCCGCAGCCGGUUGGGUAGCUGCGCGAGUCGGCCAUAAGGACGGGCGCCGGAAGGUGGCCGGUGGCGUUCCUCGUGUUCGUCGCCGGUCGUUAGCCAGCCCGCCCGUGGCGCGACACCCGACCGAGGUCGAUGGGUCCAGGUUAGGACCUUGCCGUCCCCUCCCCUAUGGUUGAGCGGGCGCGCCUGCAGGCGUGCGUUCCGUGCGGCCGUUCCACUCUUGGAGUGGGCGGCUCGCGGAUGCCGCCGUUGGUGCGGAUGCGUCCCGCGUGGGGUUUUUUCCGGCGGCUUGCGGCGAGUAGGUCGGUCACCCACCCGACCCGUCUUGAAACACGGACCAAGGAGUCUAACAUGUGCGCGAGUCACGGGGUCUUGUUUAGGCCCAGAGGCGCAAUGAAAGUAAAGGUCGGCCUCGACGCCGUCCGUGUUGGGACUCUCCGCCUCGAGCGGGGAAGCACCAACGACCCGCCCUGUCCGAUUUAUCGGUUGGGCGGAGUGUGAGCGUACACGUUGGGACCCGAAAGAUGGUGAACUAUGCCUGGGCAGGACGAAGCCAGAGGAAACUCUGGUGGAGGUCCGUAGCGGUUCUGACGUGCAAAUCGAUCGUCAGACCUGGGUAUAGG